AACGAACGCUGGCGGCAGGCCUAACACAUGCAAGUCGAGCGAAUCCUUCGGGGUUAGCGGCGGACGGGUCAGUAACGCGUGGGAACGUGCCCAAAGGUACGGAAUAGCCCCGGGAAACUGGGAGUAAUACCGUAUGUGCUCUACGGAGGAAAGAUUUAUCGCCUUUGGAUCGGCCCGCGUUGGAUUAGGUAGUUGGUGGGUAAUGCCACCAAGCCGACGAUCCAUAGCUGGUUUGAGAGGAUGAUCAGCAACACUGGGACUGAGACACGGCCCAGACUCCUACGGGAGGCAGCAGUGGGGAAUCUUAGACAAUGGGGGAAACCCUGAUCUAGCCAUGCCGCGUGAAGCGAUGAAGGCCCUUAGGG
rnacentral:rRNA from 1 species